AUAUCUCUCCGUACGGGAAGGAUGAGAAGCUUCGACUAAGGUUCGAUUCGAGCGCAGCGAGAAAGCGUUGCCGCAGGCAACGACCCGAAGGGCGAAGCGCGCAGCGCUGAGUAAUCCUUCCCC
rnacentral:sRNA from 1 species